rnacentral:misc_RNA from 1 species
GAUGAAGAACGGAGCGAAAUGCGAUAAGUAAUGUGAAUUGCAGAAUUCAGUGAAUCAUCGAAUCUUUGAACGCACAUUGCGCCCGCCAGUAUUCUGGCGGGCAUGCCUGUUCGAGCGUCAUUUCAACCAUCAAGCCCCCGGCUUGUGUUGGGGACCUGCGGCUGCCGCAGGCCCUGAAAACCAGUGGCGGGCUCGCUGUCACACCGAGCGUAGUAGAUUUUCAUCUCGCUCAGGGCGUGCUGCGGGUUCCGGCCGUAAAAAGCCUUAUUUACCCAAGGUUGACCUCGGAUCAGGCAGGAAGACCCGCUGAACUUAAGCAUAUCAAUAAGCGGAGGA